rnacentral:rRNA from 1 species
AAAAAUAAAAUGGUUGUGCUGCUAUACAUGCAAGUCGAGCGGAUCUUCAUUAGCUUGCUUUUGAAGAUCAGCGGCGGACGGGUGAGUAACACGUGGGCAACCUGCCUGUAAGACUGGGAUAACUUCGGGAAACCGGAGCUAAUACCGGAUAAUCCUUUUCCUCUCAUGAGGAAAAGCUGAAAGACGGUUUCGGCUGUCACUUACAGAUGGGCCCGCGGCGCAUUAGCUAGUUGGUGAGGUAACGGCUCACCAAGGCGACGAUGCGUAGCCGACCUGAGAGGGUGAUCGGCCACACUGGGACUGAGACACGGCCCAGACUCCUACGGGAGGCAGCAGUAGGGAAUCUUCCGCAAUGGACGAAAGUCUGACGGAGCAACGCCGCGUGAGCGAUGAAGGCCUUCGGGUCGUAAAGCUCUGUUGUCAGGGAAGAACAAGUAUCGGAGUAACUGCCGGUACCUUGACGGUACCUGACCAGAAAGCCACGGCUAACUACGUGCCAGCAGCCGCGGUAAUACGUAGGUGGCAAGCGUUGUCCGGAAUUAUUGGGCGUAAAGCGCGCGCAGGCGGUUCCUUAAGUCUGAUGUGAAAGCCCCCGGCUCAACCGGGGAGGGUCAUUGGAAACUGGGGAACUUGAGUGCAGAAGAGGAGAGCGGAAUUCCACGUGUAGCGGUGAAAUGCGUAGAGAUGUGGAGGAACACCAGUGGCGAAGGCGGCUCUCUGAUCUGUAACUGACGCUGAGGCGCGAAAGCGUGGGGAGCGAACAGGAUUAGAUACCCUGUAGUCCACGCCGUAAACGAUGAGUGCUAAGUGUUAGAGGGUUUCCGCCCUUUAGUGCUGCAGCAAACGCAUUAAGCACUCGGCCUGGGGAGUACGGCGGCAAGGCUGAAACUCAAAGGAAUUGACGGGGGCCCGCACAAGCGUU